rfam:Strongyloides ratti strain ED321 Heterogonic genome assembly, chromosome: 2
GAAAAGGCUUUUUUAAAAGCUACACCUUUAACAAGUUCAGAAUCUU